rnacentral:sRNA from 1 species
CCAUCGGCUAUCUGUCUGCUAGUAGGUUGCCCUGGAAUUAGAGGAAGGAGUCCGAAGUAGCGAGUAGCUAUGUGAAGUGAGGGCAAGUUAGCAGUCGAAAAAGAGGAAGAGUUAAGGGAGGACAAUAGACGACAUGCUGGUAACUAAAAUCUUAUCUAUUUGGUCUUACAUAUAGAGGACCAAGACCAUAGACUUUACAUUCCGCCUGCUUCCAUCGAUCUUGCCCUACGAACAUUGCGAACUAUGAAGAUAUAAAGAAAAAAAAAACUAGUCGCGCAAAAAGGUAUAAAAUUGUCCAAUCAACCAACCGAGUCCUCCCUCGCCCUGAAACUUUUCCCUGUCCCUCCUCCACGAGCCUCCACCAAAUCACACGUACUCAACAACAACAAUCUCGUGACUCAUGUCAUCCUCCGUCACGGUGAUCCAUCCGGCCCAUAUUAUCCUUACAAACUUUAAGUGACAUACAUGUAUUGUCACUUGUUAACAGGCUGCAGCUUUGUAAGUACCAUUUGGAUCCAUGGUGCACAUCCUUUCUUCAUAAUGAGAAGACAGUAGUAAAUGCUCUUUGUUCCCUGCAUCAUAAAGCACCAACGUAUUACGUAUGUAAGACUCAACUAGUAAGUUCUUCUUCUAUUAUUACUAUUUGCCGAGCAGAAAUCAGAAUAUCGCGGAAAGAGGGUUCCGCCCCUGCUGACUUUUCAUGAGUGAUGUAUAACAUGAUCAGUGUCGUGCUUGGGAAGUAGGAACCCAGAUUAACGAUGUUGCGAGGACUGAUUCUUCUGCAUUUCACACAAACUCUUGUAGAUCACCAUCACUAGGGUGGUGGAAGGCGUUAAUGGUCAGAUGCCGAUUGAUGAUACUACUUGGUGUGUAGCUCUUUUUGGGCCUGGGCUGUCUUUUGAUAGAUGAGUAAAACCCGUAAAGCAUAUAGCCUAAUACAAAUAGUGCCCUUCGUUCUUUAUUGGUUGCCUUUUUGCAGUGCCGCCUGCCGGUCUCUACCCUUAGUAGCGUUCCACCUCCAGGCAGUUCACGAUUCAUGACGAGUUUCUGUUGUCUAUAGCCGAGAAUUGGCUCCGAUAAUAACGUACUGUGCUAAGAUAGAAUUGCACUACAAUGCACGCUGAUGAUGAUCGUCGUCGUACAUCGUAUAUGGAAUCCGUAUUGAUUAUCUUUCCGAGAUAUAUGGAGUAAAUGCCCGCGCCGAAAAUGAAUCAAUCAACAGAUCCAGGUAAUAUUUCUAUAAGAAUUGUCUGUCUUCUGUCUUCCUUUCAGGUUAGUUAAUUACGUCCUACCUCCUCCUUCUCAUUCCCUAUACCCCCUCCCCCGCCCCUUUUAUCUUAUCUUUAUCUUUCGUCCCUGGUCUCCUCACUGUUAUAAUCCUGUUGCCAGCUUGGGUCGUAAUGUGACAUGUACAACCCUUUGGGCUGUGGACCCCCCGCUUUUUCUCCAAGUGCGUCCGGCGAUUCUUUAUUCCUCUCUCAAUAGAAGACAGAAGACAUGAUAGUAUGACGAUAACAGGCAGCUUGAUUUCGGCAUAAUAAUAUUAGGGACGGAUCAGGGAGAUUUGUAAUAAUACACGUACAAUAUGGAGCUCUAUAGAUUCUCAUCCCCUAUGCAAACAAUGUAUCAAUCGGU